GCUAUAGCCUUGGUGGGGGGCGUGGGCGAAGUUCGUCCGCGGGACUCGGAAUGGCACCAGACUUGGCGGGCGGCUUCCGUGUGCCAAAAAUAGGCCACGGGCACAGCCGCGCCCAAAAAACAGCCCCCGAAGCUCGGGGUCCCAAGACCCCCCAGCGGAAAAAUGGCCAAAAAACGGGUGGGCUAUAGCCUUGGUGGGGGGCGUGGGCGAAGUACGUCCGCGGGACUCGGAAUGGCACCAGACUUGGCGGGCGGCCUCCGUGUGCCAAAAAUAGGCCACGGGCACACCCGCGCCCAAAAACCAGCCCCCGAAGGUCGGGGUCCCAAGACCCCCCAGCGGAAAUAUGGCCAAAAAACGGGUGGGCUAUAGCCUUGGUGGGGGGCGUGGGCGAAGUUCGUCCGCGGGUAUCGGAAUGGCACCAGACUUGGCGGGCGGCCUCCGUGUGCCAAAAAUAGGCCACGGGCAAAGCCGCGCCCAAAAAACAGCCCCCGAAGGUCGGGGUACCAAGACCCCCCAGCGGAAAAAUGGCCAAAAAACGGGUGGGCUAUAGCCUUGGUGGGGGGCGUGGGCGAAGUUCGUCCGCGGGACUCGGAAUAGUACCAGACUUGAUGGGCGGCCUCCGUGUGCCAAAAAUAGGCCACGGGCACAGCCGCGCCCAAAAACCAGCCCCCGAAGGUCGGGGUCCCAAGACCCCCCAGCGGAAAAAUGGCCAAAAAACGGGUGGGCUUUAGCCUUGCUGGGGGGCGUGGGCGAAGUUCGUCCGCGGGACUCCGAAUGGCCCCAGACUUGGCGGUAGGCCUCCGUGUGCCAAAAAUAGGCCACGGGCACAGCCGCGCCCAAAAAACAGCCCCCGAAGCUCGGGGUCCCAAGACCCCCCAGCUGAAAAAUGGCCAAAAAACGGGUGGGCUAUAGCCUUGGUGGGGGGCGUGGGCGAAGUUCGUCCAAGGGACUCGGAAUGGCACCAGACUUGGCGUGCGGCCUGCGUGUGCGAAAAAUAGGCCACGGGGACAGCCCCGCCCAAAAAACAGCCCCCGAAGGUCGGGGUCCCAAGACCCCCCAGCGGAAAAAUGGCCAAAAAAUGGGUGGGCUAUAGCCUUGGUGGGGGGCGUGGGCGAAGUUCGUCCGCGGGACUCGGAAUGGCACCAGACUUGGCGGGCGGCCUCCGUGUGCCAAAAAUAGGCCACGGGCACAGCCGCGCCCAAAACCCAGCCCCCGAAUGUCGAAGUCCCAAGACCCCCCAGCGGAAAAAUGGCCAAAAAACGGGUGGGCUUUAGCCUUGGUGGGGGGCGUGGGCGAAGUUCUUCCGCGGGACUCGGAAUGGCACCAGACUUGGCGGGCGGCCUCCGUGUGCCAAAAAUAGGCCACGGGGACAGCCGCGCCCAAGAACCAGCCCCCGAAGGUCGGGGUCCCAAGACCCCCCAGCGGAAAAAUGGCCAAAAAACGGGUGGGCUAUAGCCUUGGUGGGGGGCGUGGGCGAAGUUCGUCCGCGGGACUCGGAAUGGCACCAGACUUGGCGGGCGGCCUCCGUGUGCCAAAAAUAGGCCACGGGCACAGCCGCGCCCAAAAAACAGCCCCCGAAGGUCGGGGUCCCAAGACCCCCCAGCGGAAAAAUGGCCAAAAAACGGGUGGGCUAUAGCCUUGGUGGGGGGCGUGGGCGAAGUUCGUCCGCGGGACUCGGAAUGGCACCAGACUUGGCGGGCGGCCUCCGUGUGCCAAAAAUAGGCCACGGGCACAGCCGCGCCCAAAAAACAGCCCCCGAAGGUCGGGGUCCCAAGACCCCCCAGCGGAAAAAUGGCCAAAAAACGGGUGGGCUAUAGCCUUGGUGGGGGGCGUGGGCGAAGUUCGUCCGCGGGACUCGGAAUGGCACCAGACUUGGCGGGCGGCCUCCGUGUGCCAAAAAUAGGCCACGGGCACAGCCGCGCCCAAAAACCAGCCCCCGAAGGUCGGGGUCCCAAGACCCCCCAGCGGAAAAAUGGCCAAAAAACGGGUGGGCUAUAGCCUUGGUGGGGGGCGUGGGCGAAGUUCGUCCGCGGGACUCGGAAUGGCACCAGACUUGGCGGGCGGCCUCCGUGUGCCAAAAAUAGGCCACGGGCACAGCCGCGCCCGAAAAACAGCCCCCGAAGGUCGGGGUCCCAAGACCCCCCAGCGGAAAAAUGGCCAAAAAACGGGUGGGCUAUAGCCUUGGUGGGGGGCGUGGGCGAAGUUCGUCCGCGGGACUCGGAAUGGCACCAGACUUGGCGGGCGGCCUCCGUGUGCCAAAAAUAGGCCACGGGCACAGCCGCGCCCAAAAAACAGCCCCCGAAGGUCGGGGUCCCAAGACCCCCCAGCGGAAAAAUGGCCAAAAAACGGGUGGGCUAUAGCCUUGGUGGGGGGCGUGGGCGAAGUUCGUCCGCGGGACUCGGAAUGGCACCAGACUUGGCGGGCGGCCUCCGUGUGCCAAAAAUAGGCCAGGGGCACAGCCGCGCCCAAAAAACAGCCCCUGAAGGUCGGGGUCCCAAGACCCCCCAGCGGAAAAAUGGCCAAAAAACGGGUGGGCUAUAGCCUUGGUGGGGGGCGUGGGCGAAAUUCAUCCGCGGGACUCGGAAUGGCACCAGACUUGGCGGGCGGCCUCCGUGUGCCAAAAAUAGGCCACGGGCACAGCCGCGCCCAAAAACGAGCCCCCGAAGGUCGGGGUCCCAAGACCCCCCAGCGGAAAAAUAGCCAAAAAACGGGUUGGCUAUAGCCUUGGUGGGGGGCGUGGGCGAAGUUCGUCCGCGGGACUCGGAAUGGCACCAGACUUGGCGGGCGGCCUCCGUGUGCCAAAAAUAGGCCACGGGCACAGCCGCGCCCAAAAAACAGCCCCCGAAGUUCGGGGUCCCAAGACCCCCCAGCGGAAAAAUGGCCAAAAAACGGUGGGCUAUAGCCUUGGUGGGGGGCGUGGGCGAAGUUCGUCCGUGGGACUCGGAAUGGCACCAGACUUGGUGGGCGGCCUAGCUGUGCCAAAAAUAGGCCACGGGCACAGCGGCGCCCAAAAAACAGCCCCCGAAGUUCGGGGUCCCAAGACCCCCCAGCGGAAAAAUGCGAAAAAACGGUGGGCUAUAGCCUUGGUGGGGGGCGUGGGCGAAGUUCGUCCGUGGGACUCGGAAUGGCACCAGACUUGGCGGGCGGCCUCCGUGUGCCAAAAAUAGGCCACGGGCACAGCCGCGCCCAAAAAACAGCCCCCGAAGUUCGGGGUCCCAAGACCCCCCAGCGGAAAAAUGGCCAAAAAACAGGUGGGCUAUAGCCUUGGUGGGGGGCGUGGGCGAAGUUCGUCCGUGGGACUCGGAAUGGCACCAGACUUGGCGGGCGGCCUCCGUGUGCCAAAAAUAUUGCCACGGGCACAGCCGCGCCCAAAAAACAGCCCCCGAAGUUCUGGGUCCCAAGACCCCCCAGCGGAAAAAUGGCCAAAAAACGGUGGGCUAUAACCUUGGUGGGGGGCGUGGGCUAAGUUCGUCCGCGGGACUCGGAAUGGCACCAGACUUGGCGGGCGGCCUCCGUGUGCCAAAAAUAGGCCACGGGCACAGCCGCGCCCAAAAAACAGCCCCCGAAGUUCGGGGUCCCAAGACCCCCCAGCGGAAAAAUGGCCAAAAAACGGUGGGCUAUAGCCUUGGUGGGGGGCGUGGGCGAAGUUAGUCCGUGGGACUCGGAAUGGCACCAGACUUGGCGGGCGGCCUCCGUGUGCCAAAAAUAGGCCACGGGCACAGCCGCGCCCAAAAAACAGCCCCCGAAGUUCGGGGUCCCAAGACCCCCCAGCGGAAAAAUGGCCAAAAAACGGGUGGGCUAUAGCCUUGGUGGGGGGCGUGGGCGAAGUUCGUCCGCGGGACUCGGAAUGGCACCAGACUUGGCGGGCGGCCUCCGUGUGCCAAAAAUAGGCCACGGGCACAGCCGCGCCCAAAAAACAACCCCCGAAGUUCGGGGUCCCAAGACCCCCCAGCGGAAAAAUGGCCAAAAAACGGUGGGCUAUAGCCUUGGUGGGGUGCGUGGGCGAAGUUCGUCCGCGGGACUCGGAAUGGCACCAGACUUGGCGGGCGGCCUCCGUGUGCCAAAAAUAGGCCACGGGCACAGCCGCGCCCAAAAAACAGCCCCCGAAGUUCGGGGUCCCAAGACCCCCCAGCGGAAAAAUGGCCAAAAAACGGGUGGGCUAUAGCCUUGGUGGGGGGCGUGGGCGAAGUUCGUCCGCGGGACUCGGAAUGGCACCAGACUUGGCGGGCGGCCUCCGUGUGCCAAAAAUAGGCCACGGGCACAGCCGCGCCCAAAAAACAGCCCCCGAAGUUCGGGGUCCCAAGACCCCCCAGCGGAAAAAUGGCCAAAAAACGGGUGGGCUAUAGCCUUGGUGGGGGGCGUGGGCGAAGUUCGUCCGCGGGACUCGGAAUGGCACCAGACUUGGCGGGCGGCCC
rnacentral:lncRNA from 1 species